CCCUAGCCCUGAUGGGAGGGAAAAUCCUUUUGUGCCGGGGUUCGGCACAAAAGAUUGGAAGGAACAGCAGGAAACAGC
rnacentral:sRNA from 2 species